GUUUUCUCUCUCUGGGGCUUCUUCCCCUCUGCCCUCCCAGCCUUAAGCACUGACCCCUACCUUUGUCCAUGGGGCCUGGAGGAGAUGUGUUAGUCUCAGGGUAAUGGCAGGAAGGGCCCCCACAGUGGGAGCAGCCGCCUUCAGGUUCCAACAGCAGGACACAGCCUGGUCCCAGGGCCUGGGCUGGGAUUGGGCGGGGUCAGGGCUCCUCCCCUCUCCCAGGGCAGAUGUCUGAGUGA
rnacentral:lncRNA from 10 species